CUCACCCUGCUCCACAAAUAGGACUGGAACAUUUCUGUCUUUGUAUGUGCUUGAUGCUUGUUUACUGACAUGAUUUCUACUCCAGCACAGAUCUGCUUGUCAAUGAGAGAGGG